AUACGGAGGGUGCAAGCGUUAAUCUUAAUUACUGGGCGUAAAGCGUACGUAGGCGGUUCGUUAAGUUAGAUGUGAAAUCCCCGGGCUUAACCUGGGAACUGCAUUUAAAACUGGCGAACUAGAGUUGAGUAGAUGGGAGUGGAAUUUCAGGUGUAGCGGUGAAAUGCGUAGAGAUCUGAAGGAACACCAGUGGCGAAGGCGGCUCCCUGGACUCAAACUGACGCUGAGGUACGAAAGCGUGGGUAGCAAACGGGAUUAGAAAAACUAGUAGUCC
rnacentral:rRNA from 1 species